rnacentral:lncRNA from 1 species
CUACAACUUCUCUCUUGUGCCAGUUUAAAUGGAGACCUUACAAGAAGGUUCCAUACAACCAGCCUGAAGACUAUUGGGAAUGGACAACAACAACUUACCUUAUCUGUUUUGACAAAGUUGAAUGGCAUCCAACUGAUAGGGUGAAGCUUCAAUUUGGUUUGCCACAAGAAAUACCCGGGGCCCCAAGAGACAUGCGACAAUUCCAUACGGUGGACAAACGGUUCAAGACGUGGUACCAAUCAAAUGGUUUUCGCUUUCCGAUAGAGAGCCAACAUUGGGACAACCGACGGAGUUAUACUUUACCUCGCAUGCAGCCAAGAUCACUCACCCCAAGUCAUGCAUAUAUUG